rnacentral:rRNA from 1 species
CAGGUACAGCGGGAAGCCACCUGGCGACAGGGAGCGGAACCCGAAAGCCUGUCUCAGUUCGGAUUGGAGUCUGCAACCCGACUCCAUGAAGCUGGAUUCGCUAGUAAUCGCGCAUCAGCCACGGCGCGGUGAAUACGUUCCCGGGCCUUGUACACACCGCCCGUCAAGCCACGGAAGCCGGGGGUGCCUGAAGUGCGCUGCCGCAAGGAGCGCCCUAGGGUAAAACUGGUGACUGGGGCUAAGUCGUAACAAGGUAUC